rnacentral:rRNA from 1 species
AUCAUUAACUGAAUCCAUAGGUUAAUGAGGCGAACCGGGGGAACUGAAACAUCUAAGUACCCCGAGGAAAAGAAAUCAACCGAGAUUCCCCCAGUAGCGGCGAGCGAACGGGGAGGAGCCCAGAGCCUGAAUCAGCAUGUGUGUUAGUGGAAGCGUCUGGAAAGGCGCGCGAUACAGGGUGACAGCCCCGUACACAAAAGCGCAUGUGCUGUGAGCUCGAUGAGUAGGGCGGGACACGUGGUAUCCUGUCUGAAUAUGGGGGGACCAUCCUCCAAGGCUAAAUACUCCUGACUGACCGAUAGUGAACCAGUACCGUGAGGGAAAGGCGAAAAGAACCCCGGCGAGGGGAGUGAAAAAGAACCUGAAACCGUGUACGUACAAGCAGUGGGAGCCCCACCACUAAGCCAGUGGUGAACUCCACAUACGCAUCCUUUGCUGAGGAUACGGUUAACGGAGCGAAAGCGACGUUCAACCUCAAAAGAAGCAGAGGGGGCUUAGUGGUGGGGUGACUGCGUACCUUUUGUAUAAUGGGUCAGCGACUUAUAUUCUGUAGCAAGGUUAACCGUAUAGGGGAGCCGGAGGGAAACCGAGUCUUAACCGGGCGUUAAGUUGCAGGGUAUAGACCCGAAACCCGGUGAUCUAGCCAUGGGCAGGUUGAAGGUUGGGUAACACUAACUGGAGGACCGAACCGACUAAUGUUGAAAAAUUAGCGGAUGACCUGUGGCUGGGGGUGAAAGGCCAAUCAAACCGGGAGAUAGCUGGUUCUCCCCGAAAGCUAUUUAGGUAGCGCCUCGUGAAUUCAUCUCCGGGGGUAGAGCACUGUUUCGGCUAGGGGGCCAUCCCGGCUUACCAACCCGAUGCAAACUGCGAAUACCGGAGAAUGUUAUCACGGGAGACACACGGCGGGUGCUAACGUCCGUCGUGAAGAGGGAAACAACCCAGACCGCCAGCUAAGGUCCCAAAGUCAUGGUUAAGUGGGAAACGAUGUGGGAAGGCCCAGACAGCCAGGAUGUUGGCUUAGAAGCAGCCAUCAUUUAAAGAAAGCGUAAUAGCUCACUGGUCGAGUCGGCCUGCGCGGAAGAUGUAACGGGGCUAAACCAUGCACCGAAGCUGCGGCAGCGAACGUAUCACUUAAAGCGAUUCAGCGGAUGACGAUUGACGGA